rnacentral:rRNA from 1 species
CUACCUAUAAGACUGGGAUAACUUCGGGAAACCGGAGYUAAUACCGGAUAAUAUUUCGAACCGCAUGGUUCGAUAGUGAAAGAUGGCUUUGCUAUCACUUAUAGAUGGACCUGCGCCGUAUUAGCUAGUUGGUAAGGUAACGGCUUACCAAGGCAACGAUACGUAGCCGACCUGAGAGGGUGAUCGGCCACACUGGAACUGAGACACGGUCCAGACUCCUACGGGAGGCAGCAGUAGGGAAUCUUCCGCAAUGGGCGAAAGCCUGACGGAGCAACGCCGCGUGAGUGAUGAAGGUCUUCGGAUCGUAAAACUCUGUUAUUAGGGAAGAACAAACGUGUAAGUAACUGUGCAC